CCUGCGGAAGGAUCAUUAAAGAGUAAGGGUGCUCAGCGCCCGACCUCCAACCCUUUGUUGUUAAAACUACCUUGUUGCUUUGGCGGGACCACUCGGUCUCGAGCCGCUGGGGAUUCGUCCCAGGCGAGCGCCCGCCAGAGUUAAACCAAACUCUUGUUAUUAAACCGGUCGUCUGAGUUAAAAUUUUGAAUAAAUCAAAACUUUCAACAACGGAUCUCUUGGUUCUCGCAUCGAUGAAGAACGCAGCGAAAUGCGAUAAGUAAUGUGAAUUGCAGAAUUCAGUGAAUCAUCGAAUCUUUGAACGCACAUUGCGCCCCUUGGUAUUCCGAGGGGCAUGCCUGUUCGAGCGUCAUUACACCACUCAAGCUAUGCUUGGUAUUGGGUGCCGUCCUUAGUUGGGCGCGCCUUAAAGACCUCGGCGAGGCCUCACCGGCUUUAGGCGUAGUAGAAUUUAUUCGAACGUCUGUCAAAGGAGAGGACUUCUGCCGACUGAAACCUUUUAUUUUUCUAGGUUGACCUCGGAUCAGGUAGGGAUACCCGCUGAACUUAAGCAUAUCAAUAAG
rnacentral:rRNA from 1 species